UAUUGACGUUGCAGAAGAUGCCGAUGAUGAUGAUGAUGUUAUACAUGGAGAUUUUUUGGACAGAGAUCAGCAUGAUAUACAAGAUCAUGCCACACAGGAACUGCGACAUCAUCAUCAUCAUCAUCACCAUCAUCGCCAACA
rnacentral:pre_miRNA from 1 species